rnacentral:lncRNA from 1 species
GACAAUGGAUGAAAAUCCUCUUCAGAACAACAAACUUUUUAAGCAAAAAUAUAGCAUUAGUAUGUGCCUUUAGGUAUAUCUUAAAAGGGAGGAACAAAAAUAGAGCAUGAGUUUCAUAACCAAAAGGCUACAAUCCACACUGCUCAUGUGUUGACAUAUUUUCUCAAAUAUAUACACCCAAAGUCUUCAUACUACUAGUCAUAAUAGAUUCAUAUGGGCAUUACUACAAAAAAAAAACAGAAAUUUUAACAUAAAAACUAGAUCCGAAUACACAUAACCUUAACAACAAAAAAAAGGAUUGAGAAUGUUAUAGCAUAUCCCUCACGGAGGCAAAAAUAGGACACACAAAGAAAGAAAAAGAAGACAAAGAAAGGAAAAAUUCUCAUGUUACAAGGAAGUGAAUUAGAGGACUUAAGAUCGCAAAACCAUAAUCAAACUUUAUGAUUUCUUACUCAAAUCGUACAAAGAAUAUCAAAAUUCAAAGAAAAAUGGAAGGACCGAACAUUUGUGAAAAAAAGUUGUUUGUUAUGUAUUGAAGCUUAGAAUUUAUGGGUUCCUUCAACUACCCCCCAAGGCUCCCUUAUCUCCUCGUAUAUAUAGUGCGAAGGGUUUUUGGGUGGGAUUUUGGGUACCAUUUGAAUUUGAACGUUUGAGAGAUGAAAGCCAGCUUACAUAAUUUUGCUCUCUAAUUUUUCUUGCCUUGACUAAACUCUUUAUUCUUUGGUCAAGGUUGCAAUCAAGAUUUUCUCAAAAUGGUGUGCCUCCUGCUGCUACGAGGCGAUUUGAAUAGAUUUGCAGUGCAAAAUGGAAGUCGUCUGCACCAAAAUUGAGAAGAAGAAGAGAGAUUGUUUAUUUAAAAUGAGGCACACAAUUUUUUUGAUAAAUAAGAUUUUGAGUUCAAAAUUGCCUCAAAAUGGGAGGAAAUGACAAAACUCCCCUGCCAUAGCUGGAGUAAGAUAGAGACAAGAGAGAAUAAGAAUAAGGUGUGGCUGUGGAAUCUUUACGAUAUUCUAGGGCUUCAAGGUUAUC